GAGUUUGAUCUUGGCUCAGAUUGAACGCUGGCGGCAGGCCUAACACAUGCAAGUCGAGCGGUAGAGAGAAGCUUGCUUCUCUUGAGAGCGGCGGACGGGUGAGUAAUGCCUAGGAAUCUGCCUGGUAGUGGGGGAUAACGCUCGGAAACGGACGCUAAUACCGCAUACGUCCUACGGGAGAAAGCAGGGGACCUUCGGGCCUUGCGCUAUCAGAUGAGCCUAGGUCGGAUUAGCUAGUUGGUGAGGUAAUGGCUCACCAAGGCGACGAUCCGUAACUGGUCUGAGAGGAUGAUCAGUCACACUGGAACUGAGACACGGUCCAGACUCUACGGGAGGCAGCAGUGGGGAAUAUUGGACAAUGGGCGAAAGCCUGAUCCAGCCAUGCCGCGUGUGUGAAGAAGGUCUUCGGAUUGUAAAGCACUUUAAGUUGGGAGAAGGGCAGUAAAUUAAUACUUUGCUGUUUUGACGUUACCGACAGAAUAAGCACGGCUAACUCUGUGCCAGCCGCCG
rnacentral:rRNA from 1 species